GACGAACGCUGGCGGCGUGCUUAACACAUGCAAGUCGAACGGUAAGGCCCUUCGGGGUACACGAGUGGCGAACGGGUGAGUACACGUGGGUGAUCUGCCCUGCACUUCGGGAUAAGCCUGGGAAACUGGGUCUAAUACCGGAUAGGACCACUGCCUGCAUGGGUGGUGGGGGAAAGCUUUUGCGGUGUGGGAUGGGCCCGCGGCCUAUCAGCUUGUUGGUGGGGUGAUGGCCUACCAAGCGACGACGGGUAGCCGGCCUGAGAGGGUGACCGGCCACACUGGGACUGAGAUACGGCCCAGACUCCUACGGGAGGCAGCAGUGGGGAAUAUUGCACAAUGGGCGCAAGCCUGAUGCAGCGACGCCGCGUGAGGGAUGACGGCCUUCGGGUUGUAAACCUCUUUCAGCACCGACGAAGCGCAAGUGACGGUAGGUGCAGAAGAAGGACCGGCCAACUACGUGCCAGCCGCCGCCGUAA
rnacentral:rRNA from 1 species